CCUACGCGAGGCAGCAGUAGGGAAUCUUCCACAAUGGGCACAAGCCUGAUGGAGCAACACCGCGUGAGUGAAGCAGGGUUUCGGCUCGUAAAGCUCUGUUGUUGGAGAAGAACGUGCGUGAGAGUACCUGUUCGCAGUGACGGUAUCCCACCAGAAAGUCACGGCUAACUACGUGCCAGCAGCCGCGGUAAUACGUAGGGGGAAAGCGUUAUCCGGAUUUCUUGGGCGUCAAGCGACGGCAGUCGGUUGAUUAGUUCUGAUGUGAAAGCCUUCGGCUUAACCGAAGAAGUGAAUCGGAAACCGGGCGACUUGAGUGCAGAAGAGGACAGUGGAACUCCAUGUGUAGCGGUGGAAUGCGUAGAUAUAUGGAAGAACACCAGGGGCGAAGGCGGCUGUCUGGUCUGCAACUGACGCUGAGGCUCGAAAGCAUGGGUAGCGAACAGGAUUAGAUACCCCUGUAGUC
rnacentral:rRNA from 1 species